AGAGUUUGAUCCUGGCUCAGGAUGAACGCUGGCGGCGUGCUUAACACAUGCAAGUCGAACGAUCCUUCGGGAUAGUGGCGGACGGGUGAGUAACGCGUGGGAAUCUGCCCUUAGGAGGGGGAUAACGGCUGGAAACGGCCGCUAAUACCCCAUAUGCCGAGAGGUGAAACGAAUUUCGCCUGAGGAUGAGCCCGCGUCUGAUUAGCUAGUUGGUGGGGUAAAGGCCUACCAAGGCGACGAUCAGUAGCUGGUCUGAGAGGAUGAUCAGCCACACUGGGACUGAGACACGGCCCAGACUCCUACGGGAGGCAGCAGUGGGGAAUUUUCCGCAAUGGGCGAAAGCCUGACGGAGCAACGCCGCGUGAGGGAUGAAGGCCUCUGGGCUGUAAACCUCUUUUCUCAAGGAAGAAGAACUGACGGUACUUGAGGAAUAAGCCACGGCUAAUUCUGUGCCAGCAGCCGCGGUAAUACGGGAGUGGCAAGCGUUAUCCGGAAUUAUUGGGCGUAAAGCGUCCGCAGGCGGCCUUGUAAGUCUGUUGUUAAAGCGUGGAGCUCAACUCCAUUUAAGCAAUGGAAACUACAAGGCUGGAGUGUGGUAGGGGCGGAGGGAAUUCCCGGUGUAGCGGUGAAAUGCGUAGAUAUCGGGAAGAACACCAGUGGCGAAGGCGCUCUGCUGGGCCAUAACUGACGCUCAUGGACGAAAGCCAGGGGAGCGAAAGGGAUUAGAUACCCCUGUAGUCCUGGCCGUAAACGAUGAACACUAGGUGUCGGGGGAAUCGACCCCCUCGGUGUCGUAGCCAACGCGUUAAGUGUUCCGCCUGGGGAGUACGCACGCAAGUGUGAAACUCAAAGGAAUUGACGGGGGCCCGCACAAGCGGUGGAGUAUGUGGUUUAAUUCGAUGCAACGCGAAGAACCUUACCAGGGUUUGGCAUCCUGCGAAUCCCUUGGAAACGAGGGAGUGCCUUCGGGAGCGCAGUGACAGGUGGUGCAUGGCUGUCGUCAGCUCGUGUCGUGAGAUGUUGGGUUAAGUCCCGCAACGAGCGCAACCCACGUCUUUAGUUGCCAGCAUUCAGUUGGGCACUCUAGAGAGACCGCCGGUGAUAAACCGGAGGAAGGUGUGGAUGACGUCAAGUCAUCAUGCCCCUUACAUCCUGGGCUACACACGUACUACAAUGCUACGGACAAAGGGCAGCAAGCUCGCGAGAGUUAGCAAAUCCCAUGAACCGUGGCUCAGUUCAGAUCGUAGGCUGCAACUCGCCUACGUGAAGGAGGAAUCGCUAGUAAUCGCAGGUCAGCAUACUGCGGUGAAUACGUUCCCGGGCCUUGUACACACCGCCCGUCACACCAUGGAAGUUGGCCAUGCCCGAAGUCGUUACUCCAACCCUUGUGGAGGAGGGCGCCGAAGGUGGGGCUGAUGACUGGGGUGAAGUCGUAACAAGGUA
rnacentral:rRNA from 1 species